UACAGAGGGGGCAAGCGUUAUUCGGAAUUAUUGGGCGUAAAGGGCGCGUAGGCGGCCUGGCAAGUGGAAGGUGAAAUCCCUCGGCUUAACCGAGGAACUGCCCUCCAAACUGCUUGGCUUGAGUCCGGGAGAGGUGAGUGGAAUUCCCAGUGUAGCGGUGAAAUGCGUAGAUAUUGGGAGGAACACCAGUGGCGAAGGCGGCUCACUGGCCCAUUACUGACGCUGAGGCACGAAAGCGUGGGGAGCAAACAGG
rnacentral:rRNA from 1 species